rnacentral:rRNA from 1 species
CGCGUAGGCGGAAUAUUAAGUCAGUGGUGAAAUCCUGCAGCUUAACUGUAGAACUGCCAUUGAUACUGGUCUUCUUGAAUAUAGUUGAGGUGGGCGGAAUGUGUAAUGUAGCGGUGAAAUGCUUAGAUAUUACACAGAACACCGAUUGCGAAGGCAGCUCACUAAACUAUCAUUGACGCUGAGGCACGAAAGCGUGGGGAGCAAACAGGAUUAGAUACCCUGGUAGUCC